UACCAGCACCCCGAGUGUUCGGGACGGUUAUUGGGCCUAAAGCAUCCGUAGCCGGUCCUGCAAGUCCCCCGUUAAAUCCAGCUGCUCAACAGAUGGGCUACGGGGGAUACUACAGGGCUAGGAGGCGGGAGAGGCAAGCGGUACUUUAUGGGUAGGGGUAAAAUCCGUUGAUCCAUAGAAGACCACCAGUGGCGAAGGCGGCUUGCCAGAACGCGCUCGACGGUGAGGGAUGAAAGCUGGGGGAGCAAACCGG
rnacentral:rRNA from 1 species